rnacentral:rRNA from 1 species
UACGAGGGGGGCAAGCGUUGUUCGGAAUUAUUGGGCGUAAAGGGCGCGUAGGCGGUGCGGUAAGUCACCUGUGAAAACUCUGGGCUCAACUCAGAGCCUGCAGGCGAAACUGCCGUGCUGGAGUGUGGGAGAGGUGCGUGGAAUUCCCGGUGUAGCGGUGAAAUGCGUAGAGAUCGGGAGGAACACCAGAGGCGAAGGCGGCGACCUGGACAGGCACUGACACUCAACUACGAAAGCGUGGGGAGCAAACAGG